ACAUCAUAAAUCAGACUGUAGGAUCUUUACAAUAAUAUUUAAACUUGUUAGGAAAAGUGACAAAUCAAGUUUUAUUUCUCUGAAAGUAUUUAACAUGAAAAACUCAUGAAAUAACUGCAAAGAGACACAAAACCAGAGAUGAGAUAAAACACCUCCAGGCUCUGCAGUGAAAUAAAAGCUCCUCAUGAAGCUGUUUGGAGGACGAGGAAGAAGGUGAACAAACAUCUAAAACACACUUUAGUUCACUUCCUGUCUCACUACAUGACUCUAUUUGUGUUAUUUCAGUUUUUUAUUGUUUUCACAUCCAGCUGAUCUGGAUCAACAAAGUUCACAGAGAGCAGCACAGAGGCAGCAGCUGGGUUCAGGUUGGUGACUUUCAUUGUGUUUAAAGCAUUUCUUACAUUCCUGUAUGAUCACAGUCACCUCCUGCUGUUUCUACUGUGUCCAGCAGGUGGAGCCAACAUCAACUAGUGAAGUCUGUCUGAAGGCUCCAACUUCAACUAAACCCACAGCUGGGAUGGACUCCAGCCUCUAUUACCCUGAUGAGGAUUAAACAGUGUGCAGAUGAUCUGUUUCACAAACAAACUCUCAGAAUAUCCUCAAAUGUAGCUGAGCUUCAGUUCAGAUCUUUUUUGUAAAACUCACUGCUCCUCCAUGAAGGAUCCAGUUCAUAUGUUGUAGUUCAGCAUCUCUACAGUUAACUGAACAUGUGAUACCAGUGAGUUAAACAUUAAACCAACACUCUGAUCACUGGGUUGGUCCUCAUUUCAUUCUUGAACUCGGACUCAGAAGGAAGCAGUGACUGUCCACAGGUGAGUUCCGUUCAUUAAAACCUAGAGAAAUGAAAACAGCUGUGAAGUUCUGUGACUGUAAACUGACAGCUGAUGGUGUGUUUCAGGUGUUUGAUCAGAUGAAGAAUCCCUGCAUGAACUCUGUUACCUGCAGAAACAUCAGAGUGAAGAGCGACGGCCGCCUCAGGUGGUCGUCCAGGUGAAUUCAUGUGACGCUGUGGCAGCUCCUGAUGUGAUUUCUUUCUGGUGGGUUUCCAGCAGAGGGCAGCAUGGCAGCAGCACCUGGUGAGUCCAUUCAGG